AUGGUGUUUACUGCAUGUUUCUCAAUUAUUGCCGCCAUCAUCUAUAGUUAGCACUCAUGUCACUAAUGUGAUGAUGCAUUCAUGGAAAUUUGUUAAGUACUCCAUAUGGUAUUCAUGAUUCAAAUGUUAUUAGCUACUAAUUCUAUGUUCGAAGGUCUGCAUUGCUGAACAAGGCUAUGAGCCUAAGAAUUUAAAUGAGAAGUAGUAGCUAAUAACAAACUUUUCAAACAACAUGUAUAAAAUUUUGUAUUGUUGUUCUUGUUACCAGCAGGAGCACAGUAUUCCUAAAAAGCUAAAGGCAUCCGGGGAAAAGAAAACACAGGCUUGCUGCUCAGCCAGUCUUGCUUCACUUAUAAAAGAGUGAUUAACCAAGGAGAGUCAGUCAGAUGAAGGUAGUGCACUUUGCAAUGAUAAAUGCAA